rnacentral:rRNA from 1 species
GAUCAAGGUAUGAAGGGCGUACGGUGGAUGCCUUGGCACUAGGAGCCGAUGAAGGACGCGACGAACAGCGAUAUGCUUCGGGGAGCAGUAAGUAUGCUUUGAUCCGAAGAUUUCCGAAUGGGGGAACCCACCAUCUGUAAUGGGAUGGGACAUGUUACAUGAAUACAUAGUGUAGCGUGAGGCAGACCCGGGGAACUGAAACAUCUAAGUACCCGGAGGAAGAGAAAGCAAAUGCGAUUCCCUGAGUAGCGGCGAGCGAAACGGGAACAGCCCAAACCGAAGAGCAUGCUCUUCGG